rnacentral:misc_RNA from 1 species
GAGGGUGCAGUGAGGCCGCCCAUUGAAGCAGGAACCCACCGAGGUGAUUCAGGCUCUGGUCUGAACGCUGUAGGAAUCCCCGUCCUUUAGGGCGGGGAGGAUGUCAAUUUACUCUCUC